UGUUCUGUGUCAGCGUGAGGACCUGCCCCUGGAUCUCCCAAUGAUGAGGCUGUUGCUCGUGGCCCUGCGUCAUCCUGACUGCAAACAAAGCAGUGAUUGACUUUGCCUGUGUCCUUUCUGUGCCUACAAAUGAGACAUCAGAGACUGGUGGAGCAUCUGGAUGAAACUUUCACCUUGUUUACCCAGUGCGGAUGCUGUGUGAUUCAGAAUGGCUUUGGGAGCCGGCUGCUGCAGAAACCCCUAAGGUGAGAGCGCCCAGCGUCUCGCACGGGAGCCAGCGUGUCCGAAGCAAGUCCAGAACCUCCACACGAGGACCGGGACACUCAACCAGUUGAUUGAAGGACACAACAGGAUCAUCCACAGCCCUGGGUGCCGCUGCCGGGGGGAUCCAGGCCCGCAUCUCCUGUGCUGGUGAGCACAGCCCUGCCAUCGCAGCGCUCAGCAAGGACGGUCCAUCUGCAACGCCGAUUGCCAGGAAGGGACAAGCAGGUCACUGUUGUCCUCUGGGUGUUUGAAGCCACCCUCCAUCUGCAGCUGAACGCCCAGACCACAGGGCAGGGAGCUGGACACCCCUGGCCUGCUUCCCGCCCGGCAUGGGCCGCUCCGCAGCGAUGCACGGAGAUACCAUCACAAGGUGUGGUGUCUUGAUUGGAGUCUAGCGAGAAAGUAAAACUUGUAUUCACCCACCCACCUUUGGCAGACUGUCCGAGGGUCCCUCUCGAGCUUCAGGAGCGAAGGUGGUUCAUUCACCUCCACCCAACGGUAAUGACGUGUUGCUGCCUGCUGGACGUGCCAGGCUUGGCACUGGAGAGCUAAGCCU